rnacentral:lncRNA from 1 species
GUGGGCAGAUAACUUGACGUCAGGAGUUCAAGACCAGCCUGGCUGACAUGGUGAAACCCCAUCUCUACUAAAAAUACAAAAAUUAGCCAGGCAUGGUGGUGGGCACCUGUAAUCCCAACUACUUGGGAGGCUGAGGCAGAAUUGUUUGAACUCGGGAGGCAGAGGUUGCAGUGAGCCAAGAUGGCACCACUGCACUCCCCCUGAGAGCAAGACUCCGUCUCAAGAAAAAAAAAAAAAAAAACCCAGUAAUUUCCAAGGGUCUGAGAAGCUCUGUGCCAGGGACCAGGGACAAAGACCAAAUAUUUUUUAUUUUGCCACAUCUAUCUUCUUAGCAAUUUAGAUUACUUUCCCUUAAAUAUAACAAAUUCCAUUAAGCAUCAGUUUAAGUUGAGGCGUAACAGAAAUUAUUAUUAGCAAAAACCUUGAGAGAUAAGAAUACUAAGCGGGAGAAAUAAUAGAAGAACUAUUUUAACCCUAAUAUACUUUGUCAAGUCUGACUUUUUUAAAAAUCGCAUUUAUUAAGCUUGCAUAGAGCUGACUACAUGCCAAGCACUGUUAAAAGCAGUUUACGUGUAACUUGUUAAUUGCACAUUAUUUCCUUUAAUUGUCUUAAUCAGGUAGGUGAUAUUACUAUCCUUAUUUUGCAGAAAUUGAGGCACAAAGAGGUUAAGUAAUUGCCAGAGGUCCACUCAGCUAGUAAGUGGCAUUUUGGCUCCAGAGUUCAUGAUCUUAAGCAUAUUCUCUGUUGCUUUAUUGGAAGACUAAACCUUUUAAGAUAGAUAUUCUAUAAUUCAGUGGGCUUCCUAAAUACAAAUGGAGAAAACAGAUGUGGAUUCACCUUUCCUAAACGCUUUGCCUCUCUUUAAAUUCUUCAACUGAGUGAUCCUCUCUGGGAUCACUCAUAUUCUGGAAAAAGCCAACUGCCAUGUCAAGAGAACACCCAGGUAGCCUUGUAGAGAGGCUCAUGUGAUGAUGAACUGAGGCCUUCGGGCAACAACCAUGUUAGUGUGCCAUCUUGGAAAUGAAUACUGCAGCCCCAGCAUCAGCUAAGCCACAUGCAGAUUCCUGAUUCUCAGAAACUGAGUGAGCUGGGAUUACAGGUGUGAGCCAUUGUGCCCAGUCUGGGUCUGCUUGUUAUAACUAAUUAACUGUAGUGGUAAUUUGUGGUGGUGUUUUGUUCUGUUUUUUUAGUGUGUGUGUGUUUUACUGGUAAAAGUAAUACAUUAAUAAUUUCAUUUUACACAGUUUAGGAGGUGGGGAGAAAACACUUCUGAUUCCAUGGCCCCACCUCAAGCACCACCAUUUGAAUCAUUUUGGGGCUAAUUUUUAAUGUGCAAUCCAAGGUGAAUGAAGAUCUCUCAGACACAUGCACCUUAAAGCUUCAUAAUUCUCAUGUAGACCUGCUGUUUUAACACAAGAGGGCACCAGUAGACAGGAUAGUCCCCCCAUAGUGUCUAGCAAAUGGGUGCUCUUGGAGAGUUUUAUUUAUUUAUUUUUAUUUGAAGACAGGGGCUGGCUCUGUUACCCAGGCUGGAAAACACAACUCACUGCACCCUCAACCUCCUGGGCUCAAGCAAUCCUCCUGCCUCAGCCUCCUGAGAAGCUGGGACCACAGGCUUGUGCUACCAGGCCCAGCUAAUUUUUAAAUUUUUUUUUGUGGAGAUGGAGUCUCCCUAUGUUUCCCAGGAUGAUCUCGAACUCCUGGGCUCAAGUUGUCCACCUGCCUGGGCCUCCCAAAGUGCUGGGAUUACAGGCAUGAGCCAUCGCUCUUUCUGACCCAUUUUAAGGAUACUUUAGACUUUAAUACUUUAUUAAACAAAACUAGGAGCAGUUCCUUUCUUGUCUCCUUUAAAGGGUGUUGUAUUUAAAUAUUUUAGAACAUUUAGCUGGGACUAGGUUCAUGACACUAAACACAUGCAAAUGGAGGCUCAAUUGCCCAAGCCUUCAUUGUCAGCAUCCCUCUCCACAGGGUUUCAGCAUUGCUCACCUUCAUGAAAGUUUGGUGCUAAGUCCCUGAAUUUAGACUUUCUUUUUUCCUUUUUAAAAUUUUCAGUGACAGGGACUCACCAUGUUGACCAGGCUGCUCUUGAACUCCUGGACUCAAGCCACCCUCCUGCCUCAGCCUCCCAGCGUGCUGGGAUUACAGGCAUGAGCCACCAUGGCCUGCCUAGAUUUUCCAUUUCUUAAACUAACUCAGCUUUCAUUAGCUACCUAUAUCUGCAGUAAGCCAAGACUGUGCUGCUGCACUCCUGCCUGGGCAACAGAGCAAGACUCCAUCUCAAAAAAAAAAAAAAAAAUCAGUUGUAUUUGUUCCAAAACUUGUUUUUGCAAGUUGUACUUAAUAACGAUGUAAUUUAAUUCAAUAUUACCAAAAUCAAACAAUUAUGAGUGUGAAGAGAGUAAUCUCUAUGAAAAAAAGUUGAAAACUUGGGAAAGACCUGAUAAAAGACGUGUUAUUAAAGAAAAAAAUGCUGUGGAAUUAGGUGUGGGUAAAGCAACCGUGAAUGUUUGGGAGGGAGAGAAAAGUGUCAAAAUAUAGGACUUUGCCUUCAUUUUGUUUCACAAGUGUCUUGAGUCCUCAUUCUACUAAAGCUGAAAUUGAUAAUGCUUCUUGCUGUGCUAAUCAAUGUCCUCUGUGCAGCCUGCAUCAGCAGGCCCACACGCAAAGAAAAGGUCUUAUGUCGUGGAUCAUGAGGUCAGGAGUCCGAGACCAGCCUGAUCAACACGGUGAGACUCCGUAAAAAUACAAAAAUUAGCCGAGUGUGGUGGUACAUGCCUGUAAUCCCAUCUACUCAGGAGGCUGAGGCAGGAGAAUCGCUUGAACCCGGGAGGCAGAGGUUGCAGUGAGCCGAGAUCAUGCCGCUUGCACUCCAGCAUGGGUUACAAAGCAAGACUCCAUCUCAAAAAAAAAAAUAAAAAAUUGAUGUUUGACACACUGAAUUUGAGAUACCUUUGAAGUAUCCAGUUUAGAUUUUUCUAUAACAGCUUGAUUAAUAUAUAAUUUACCUUUUAAAAAAUUAUCUGGUUUUUAAUAUAUUCAGAGUUAUGCAACCAUCAUUUCUAUCUAAAUUAUUUUUUAAUAUUUUCAUCACUCCAAAAAGAAAAUUUCAUAUCCUUUAGCAGUCAUUUCCUAUUCUCCCUUCCUCCUAACCCCUGGCAACCACCAAGCUGCUUUUCUGUCUCUAAUGCUGGCCUUGGAUUCGGCCUUCAUGAGCUGUAAUGGCUUUCCCUGGUGGCAUCCAUUAGAAUAUUUAAGGUGACAAUUUUUUUUUUCCCAUUCUGGGAGCCAACCACUUCAAAAAAUCUUUGUCAGGUCACUGAUGACUCUAUAGAUAGUAGAACAGAAACCUCAGUGGCCAAACGCAACUGUGAAUACACACUUUGCAAAAAAAAAAAAAAUAGUUUGAAAAAAUCAGUUAACUAGUGGACAGCAGCAGCCUUCAAAAAGCAAAAAUCAGCAAUCACUGAGGAGGAGGAGAAAUUGAUUUCCAAAGUUACCACAUUACAAAACGCAAAAUAUCCAGUUCUUAACAAAGAAUUACAAAGCAUACAAAAUCUAUAAAGACAGAAAGAUUAGUCAUUGACAGGAAAUGAACAGAAGAGGAAAUUGGAAGGUACAAGGCUUCCCCUUGGGGGUGAAGAAAAUAUUCUGGAAUUAGAUAAGGAUAAUGGUUGUACAAUAUUGUAAAUAUAAUAAAUAUCACAAAUUGUAUGUUGCAAAAUAUUUAAAAUGGUGAAUUUUGUUGCUAUUUUCAAAACAUGUGUUUCCCUGGAAAUCGUAUCCUAAAACUUAAUCUCCAAUGCAACAGUGUUAAGAGGUGGGGUCUUUGGGAAGUGAUUAGGCCAUGAGGGCUCCACCUCCAUGAAUGGGAUUAGUACCCUUACAAAGAAGCUUGAGGGAGCCUGCAAGCUCCUGCUGCCAUGUGAGUACACAUAGAAGUCACCUUCUACAAGGAACUGAAUCUGCUGGUGCCUCGAUCUUGGACUUCCAAGCCUCUAGAACUGUAAGAAUUAAAUUUCUGUUGUUUCUAAGUUAUCCCACUUAAAGUCUUCUCCUAUAGCAACCCAGAUGGACUAAGACAUUUGUUAAGUGAAUUUUACCUAAAAAAAAAAUUUCUGUAUCAGAGUUGUUAAAGAAUGAUGA